GGAUUAAUCUCCUUUCCAUCCUCGUCAACCUCAGCAGGUGCAAGUCCAGCUUUACGUGCUUCUUCCAAUUCAAUUUGCUUUCUGUGAUCCUCCCUGGACUUAAAUGCAACUGAUGAGGUUGCCAUGUUGGAUUCUGUAGAUGUGAUGGACGCAAGCUCUACGAAUUCAGUAAAUAAACUGAAAUUAAUUGCAGGCAGCAGAAACGGAACCUUGCGCCCCAAACUCGAGAGAGUAAAUCCUGUGAAGGAUUAUG
rnacentral:misc_RNA from 1 species